UCCCCGCUCCGAGAUUGACCUCUUCACAUCCGCAAAGAGUUCAAGGAGACCCAUGACGCCUCUUUGCAUGAAUUCAUCCAGGUAGAGACGUUCGUUGGUGACACAUCAGGAGACUAUCGUAAAAUCCUUUUGAUUCUCUGUGGAGGUGAGGACUAGAACAUUGUCUGUCGUCCGGGAUGUAUCACACAGGAUAUUCAUGCCAAGUAACCAGUGCACUGUGUCCCCAUUCAUUGUUUGUGAGUUUCUAGUGACAUACAGUCUUUGUGCCCUCUGCUGCCAUGCCAAUGCCAAAGCUAAUGACCUGUGCAGAAGCCACACCUAGUCCCAUUUUCUAAAAAAUCGUGCGCGAACACUUUUUUUUUUUUUUUUUUACAGUUAAAAGCACUUUUUAUGGUGUUACCGUACUACUAGUGCUUUAUUUGUUACCCAACAUCCUGUUUAAAUUGAUUACCCCAGAAAUAAAAGACGUGAUCGUGUUUGAGUUUGUGUUGUUAGAUGGA